rnacentral:rRNA from 1 species
GCAGCACGGGGGCAAUCCUGGUGGCGAGUGGCGAACGGGUGAGUAAUAUAUCGGAACGUGCCCAGUCGUGGGGGAUAACGCAGCGAAAGCUGUGCUAAUACCGCAUACGAUCUAUGGAUGAAAGCGGGGGAUCGCAAGACCUCGCGCGAUUGGAGCGGCCGAUAUCAGAUUAGCUAGUUGGUGGGGUAAAAGCCCACCAAGGCGACGAUCUGUAGCUGGUCUGAGAGGACGACCAGCCACACUGGAACUGAGACACGGUCCAGACUCCUACGGGAGGCAGCAGUGGGGAAUUUUGGACAAUGGGCGCAAGCCUGAUCCAGCAAUGCCGCGUGCAGGAUGAAGGCCUUCGGGUUGUAAACUGCUUUUGUACGGAACGAAACGGCGAGCUCUAAUAAAGCUCGCUAAUGACGGUACCGUAAGAAUAAGCACCGGCUAACUACGUGCCAGCAGCCGCGGUAAUACGUAGGGUGCAAGCGUUAAUCGGAAUUACUGGGCGUAAAGCGUGCGCAGGCGGUGAUGUAAGACAGAUGUGAAAUCCCCGGGCUCAACCUGGGACCUGCAUUUGUGACUGCAUCGCUAGAGUACGGUAGAGGGGGAUGGAAUUCCGCGUGUAGCAGUGAAAUGCGUAGAUAUGCGGAGGAACACCGAUGGCGAAGGCAAUCCCCUGGACCUGUACUGACGCUCAUGCACGAAAGCGUGGGGAGCAAACAGGAUUAGAUACCCUGGUAGUCCACGCCCUAAACGAUGUCAACUGGUUGUUGGGUCUUCACUGACUCAGUAACGAAGCUAACGCGUGAAGUUGACCGCCUGGGGAGUACGGCCGCAAGGUUGAAACUCAAAGGNANUUGACGGGGACCCGCACAAGCGGNGGAUGAUGUGGNUUNAAUUCGAUGCNACGCGAAA